UUCUUGGGUCCAUUUAGAGGAAGUAAAAGUCGUAACAAGGUCCCCCGGCGUAGGCCACGGCGUCCUCCUCGUUGAAAGGACGCCGGGGCUCUCGCACCUAUGGAAGCCUUGCACUCCAGUCUAUCCCGCAUAGGCAACAUCGACAUGGUGCUGGGAUUUCGCCCUCGCCGGUGGAUACCAGCAGCCGCUCGCGCGGCUCACAGAUCAAACGUUGGUGGCUCAGUGAGGUCGUGACCUCCCAUCGAGUUCAGAUAUGACCGGCCCCGUUGCGAAAGUGCCGGGAACCGUCGCGUUCCGUAGGUGAACCUGCGGAAGGAUCAUUA
rnacentral:rRNA from 1 species